rnacentral:rRNA from 1 species
CCCUUAGAUGUCCUGGGCCGCACGCGCGCUACACUGAACGGAUCAGCGCGUUUUCCCUUCCCGAGAGGGACGGGUAACCUGCUGAACCCCGUUCGUGGUAGGGAUCGGGGCUUGCAAUUAUUCCCCGUGAACCAGGAAUGCCCAGUAAGUGCAAGUCAUAAGCUUGCGUUGAUUACGUCCCUGCCCUUUGUACACACCGCCCGUCGCUACUACCGAUUGAACGUUUUAGUGAGGUACUCGGACUGAGCCUCAGAAGAUUCACGUCUUUUGUGCUGCUCGGGAAGAUUCCCAAACUUGAGCGUUUAGAGGAAGUAAAAGUCAUAACA